rnacentral:rRNA from 1 species
AUUGAACGCUGGCGGCAGGCCUAACACAUGCAAGUCGAACGAGUGGCGGACGGGUGAGUAAUGUCUGGGAAACUGCCCGAUGGAGGGGGAUAACUACUGGAAACGGUAGCUAAUACCGCAUACCAUCGGAUGUGCCCAGAUGGGAUUAGCUAGUAGGUGGGGUAAAGGCUCACCUAGGCGACGAUCUCUAGCUGGUCUGAGAGGAUGAUCAGCCACACUGGGACUGAGACACGGCCCAGACUCCUACGGGAGGCAGCAGUGGGGAAUAUUGCACAAUGGGCGCAAGCCUGAUGCAGCCAUGCCGCGUGUAUGAAGAAGGCCUUAGGGUUGUAAAGUACUUUCAGCGGGGAGGCGUUACCCGCAGAAGAAGCACCGGCUAACUCCGUGCCAGCAGCCGCGGUAAUAC